rnacentral:misc_RNA from 1 species
GAUGCAACUGCACUUGCAGCCUGCAGAAGACAAAAUUUCAUUAGAUUCCCAAUCAAUCACACAGUUUAGCAUUGGUUUGUGACUGUUUCAUUGCGGAAAAACUGAAAAAUGAUGGUAAAAGAAGAUAAACGUAAAACCCUAAUAUUCUAUGUAGAUAAUCAAAUGCAAUGAACCCUGAUUAUCAGAGGGGGUAAAGGAAGUGACUUUGGUAGAUCCCAUUAAACAAAAAGCAAGCGUCGAUUGCGGUCAAUUGAGGAGAAGCUAAUAGUGAUAUACGUCCAUGGUUCUUUCUAAACAACCAAACAGAAGAUAGAAGGAGAAAGAUCUAAAAGGAAAGAAACAACAUAGGCAUGUGUAAGUAGAAAAGAAUGCCUGGGUGAGAUUAUUAUCGCG